GACGAACGCUGGCGGCGUGCUUAACACAUGCAAGUCGAACGAAGUGGCGAACGGGUGAGUAACGCGUAAUCAACCUGCCCUUCAGAGGGGGACAACAGUUGGAAACGACUGCUAAUACCGCAUACUGAAGGAGGGGAUUGCGUCUGAGUAGCUAGUUGGAGGGGUAACGGCCCACCAAGGCGAGGAUACGUAGCCGGGUUGAGAGGGUGACCGGCCACAUUGGGACUGAGACACGGCCCAGACUCCUACGGGAGGCAGCAGUGGGGAAUCUUCCGCAAUGGACGAAAGUCUGACGGAGCAACGCCGCGUGAGUGAUGACGGCCUUCGGGUUGUAAAGCUCUGUUAAUCGGGACGCGGUACCGGAAUAGAAAGCCACGGCUAACUACGUGCCAGCAGCCGCGGUAAUAC
rnacentral:rRNA from 1 species